CCUACGGGAGGCAGCAGUAAGGAAUAUUGGUCAAUGGUGGCAACACUGAACCAGCCAUGCCGCGUGCAGGAUGAAGGUUCUAUGAAUUGUAAACUGCUUUUAUACGGGAAAAAACUUUCGAACGUGUUCGAAACUGAUGGUACCGUAAGAAUAAGGAUCGGCUAACUUCGUGCCAGCAGCCGCGGUAAGACGAAGGAUCCAAGCGUUAUCCGGAUUUAUUGGGUUUAAAGGGUGCGUAGGUGGACUUGUAAGUCAGUGGUGAAAGCCCGAUGCUUAACAUCGGAACUGCCAUUGAUACUGCAAGUCUUGAAUAUGUUUGAAGUGGGCGGAAUGUGUCGUGUAGCGGUGAAAUGCUUAGAUAUGACACAGAACACCGAUUGCGAAGGCAGCUCACUAAACCAUUAUUGACACUGAGGCACGAAAGCGUGGGGAGCAAACAGGAUUAGAUACCCUGGUAGUCCACGCCCUAAACGUUGAAUACUCGAUGUGUGCGAUACACUGUACGCGUCCAAGAGAAAUCGUUAAGUAUUCCACCUGGGGAGUACGCUCGCAAGAGUGAAACUCAAAUGGAUUGACGG
rnacentral:rRNA from 1 species